ensembl:lncRNA
GGUCUGCACAACGCAUCACCGGGGGGAAACUACCUGCCCUCCAGGACAACUACACCACCCGAUGUCACAGGAAGGCCAUAAAGAUCAUCAAGGACAACAACCACCCGAGCCACUGCCUGUUCACCCCGCUAUCAUCUAGAAGGCAAGACUAUGUCAAAGGCCCAUCCUGGUAGAUCUGAACCUAAUGCAGCUUGGAGUGAUCAGAUGACAGAAGUCCCAUUUAGGUGCCAGGGGCAGUCAAGAAAUGGAACGGCAAGGCCACAGAACAUUACAUAAGCAGAGCUGUGGGAGACCACCUCAAGCCCUUGGUAGAGCCGGGGGUGGUGUUUACCACACCACUACGCCUUCAGCAGGCUGGAAAAGUGGGAUUGAUCUGUUUGAUCCAUUUGUUUAUUUCAGUUCUCAGUAGUUGAAACCUUCAACGUAUUGUUGAUUUCAAAGAUUUUCAUUUUCAACAAAUGCACUGGGUUGGUUGAAAAGUGAUACGAAACUUACAUACCAUGCACUAUAUUGAUAUAGUGGAAGAUAUACUGAAUUUAUACUGUUUUUCAUACUAAGAUGGACCAGGAUAUGUGUUGCUUUUGCACAUAUUUGUUAAUUGGUUUUGCAAGUCUGUUGAUUGGUCAGUCAUUGGGUUAAUUUGUUUUGCAAUAUGUUCAAAUCAAAUCAAGCUUUAUUUAUACAGCACAUUUCAGACAUGGAUGCAACACAACUGCUUCACAGGGAAAAAAAACAAUGAAAAUAAAAAACUAUUUAGUACACAACAAACAUAAGAGGAUAAAAAACAGAAGAUUAACAACUUAAAGACUAAUGAGCAUCCUAAGGAAAAUGCCAUUUGAUUAAAGUAUUAUAAUCAGAACAGGUGACAGGUAACGAGGUGACACCAAUCAGUGCUCCCUACGUGCUAACGAGCUAUACGUGCUAACUUCCAACCUCAAAACAUAAAUGCAAAAACCAAAUCCUGCAACACCUCCCCCUUAAGACAACAAAUAUAUCCUAUAUUUUUGUUGGACAUGUUUGCUCACCGCCAACAGAAAACAACUUCCAUUUCACAUUAUAAUCAACUACAAUGAUUCACAUUCUACAAUAUGGCUGUCAACAAUUAAAAACAACACAAAAAAUGUUUUUUGAAAAACUCACUAGCUUCAAGAGCUCUCAGUCUGUUGGUUGCAUAAAUAAUCAUGAUUAAAUGUUACAUGAAUUGUAAAUUUGAAAUAUCAAAGCCAAAUGUACACCCCUUUGUUAAUAUGUAUUGGCUAUAAUUCACUUAAUGGUGAGGCAUGGAAUAAUAAAAAUGUAAAUUUUUGUCAGGCUGAAUAUUUGAAACAGGUGAUUUGAGUCAUGCUUCUUCAGUAGUGGAAUAAAGACAAUUAGCAUUUGAAUGUUGUCAAGAAAUACUGGAGUGAUGUAGGGUUGUUAAUAAAAUUGAUUACAG